rnacentral:rRNA from 1 species
AUACGGAGGAUCCGAGCGUUAUCCGGAUUUAUUGGGUUUAAAGGGAGCGUAGGCGGACGCUUAAGUCAGUUGUGAAAGUUUGCGGCUCAACCGUAAAAUUGCAGUUGAUACUGGGUGUCUUGAGUACAGUAGAGGCAGGCGGAAUUCGUGGUGUAGCGGUGAAAUGCUUAGAUAUCACGAAGAACUCCGAUUGCGAAGGCAGCCUGCUGGACUGUAACUGACGCUGAUGCUCGAAAGUGUGGGUAUCAAACAGGAUUAGAUACCCUGGUAGUCCACACAGUAAACGAUGAAUACUCGCUGUUUGCGAUACACUGUAAGCGGCCAAGCGAAAGCGUUAAGUAUUCCACCUGGGGAGUACGCCGGCAACGGUGAAACUCAAAUGAAUUGACGGGG